CCUACGGGAGGCAGCAGUCGGGAAUUUUGGGCAAUGGGCGAAAGCCUGACCCAGCAACGCCGCGUGAAGGAUGAAAUCCCUCGGGAUGUAAACUUCGCAAGAACAGGAAGAAUAAGUAAGGGUUAAUAUCUCUUACGAUGACGGUACUGUUUGUAAGCUCCGGCUAACUCCGUGCCAGCAGCCGCGGUAAUACGGGGGGAGCAAGCGUUGUUCGGAUUUACUGGGCGUAAAGGGCGCGUAGGCGGCCACCGCAAGUCGACUGUGAAAUCUCCGGGCUUAACCCGGAAAGGUCAGCCUAUACUGCGGGGCUAGAGUGCAGAAGGGGCAACUGGAAUUCUCGGUGUAGCGGUGAAAUGCGUAGAUAUCGAGAGGAACACCUGCGGCGAAGGCGGGUUGCUGGGCUGACACUGACGCUGAGGCGCGAAAGCUAGGGGAGCGAACGGGAUUAGAUACCCCGGUAGUCCUAGCCUUAAACGAUGAAUGCUUGGUGUCUGGGGUUUUAUAGUCCCCGGGUGCCGUCGCUAACGCUUUAAGCAUUCCGCCUGGGGAGUACGGUCGCAAGACUGAAACUCAAAGGAAUUGACGG
rnacentral:rRNA from 1 species